rnacentral:rRNA from 1 species
UAAUAUUCUUAUCUGCGCAAUAGUGGAUAAAGAAAGUCUGUUCGACUCUUAAAAAAUUACAUGAUUUGAGUUCAGACCGGUGUAAACCAGGUCGGUUUCUAUCUUCUUAUAUUUCUUCUAGUACGAAAGGACCUAAGAAAAUGAUUCAAUCAUUAUCUUGGCAGAAUAAUGCAUUAGAAUUAGAAUCUAAUUAAACUAAAAUAUUAUUUUCCAUAAACUUUAUUCUA